GCUCAUGCAUAACCCGUCGCUGCUCUCGGAGGCGGAAGUCCUCCGCGAGGUGUUCGGGACUGCGGUCGUCGCGCAGAUCAUGGCGACAGUCGUGUAUAAUCACG
rnacentral:SRP_RNA from 1 species